rnacentral:rRNA from 1 species
UACGUAGGUGGCAAGCGUUGUCCGGAGUUAUUGGGCGUAAAGCGCGCGCAGGCGGCCUCUUAAGUCUGAUGUGAAAGCCCACGGCUCAACCGUGGAGGGUCAUUGGAAACUGGGGGACUUGAGUACAGAAGAGAAGAGUGGAAUUCCACGUGUAGCGGUGAAAUGCGUAGAGAUGUGGAGGAACACCAGUGGCGAAGGCGACUCUUUGGUCUGUAACUGACGCUGAGGCGCGAAAGCGUGGGGAGCAAACAGG